CCCGGGUCUCCCGCAGGCACCACAGUUCCUGCACCUUCUCGAAAGAACUGCACUUCUUUGGCCUCUCUCUCUCUCUCUAUUUUAUUUUAUUAUUUUUUUUACAAGCAAAGCAUGGUGGCUAUUUCCUCCCCAUUUGGAAGAGCGGGAAACUGAAAGCUGGAGAGAGACCUGGAGGCCGGUUGGGACCCCCCAGUAGGGGGGAUCCGGCUGGGCUGGACCUGCCAGCCUCCUAUCAGGAGCUGAUCUCGGAGCCAGGGGACCAAGGGGCUGGGGGGUGGCGGAGUCCCCGGAGGUCACCCACCCUCGCUCCCAUGCCCAGAGAGGGUGGAGAACAGACAGAAGAUUCCAGCACAGCCUGCUCCCGACAAGGAUGCCCGCAGCCGCGUGUGAAGCUGCCUCCCUGGGGCUCCAGUGUGAGUCACCCGCACACCUGCACCCCGCCGGUGAUGGCCCGGUCUCCCCCUCCACCGGGAGCCCCCAGGCCCGGCGGCUCCUCCAAGGCCCUCGCCUCAUCUCUAACACCGCUGAGACGGUCUCUAACCCGGAGGCCAGCCGUGGGAAAUUUAGACAACACUGGAAUCUGCCAAGAAUAAAAGUUAACCAUCCACGACCCACCACCCCGAAUCUGCGGGCGAAUUUCCUCCCAUACCUCGGUUCUUGGCAUAACAGAUACAUAACAGAAACCCAACCUCCUGCAUCCCUCACAUCUCCACCUUGUUACCUCGCCUUACAUUAUUUACCGAAGCGUCUGCCUGGAGGACCAGCAUUUGCAAAGUUGCCUUAA
rnacentral:lncRNA from 1 species